UACGUAGGGGGCAAGCGUUGUUCGGAAUUACUGGGCGUAAAGGGCUCGUAGGCGGCCAACUAAGUCGGAUGUGAAAUCCCCAGGCUUAACCUGGGAACUGCAUCCGAUACUGGAUGGCUUGAAUCCGGGAGAGGGAUGCAGAAUUCCAGGUGUAGCGGUGAAAUGCGUAGAUAUCUGGAGGAAUACCGGUGGCGAAGGCGGCAUCCUGGACCGGCAUUGACGCUGAUGAGCGGAAGCUAGGGGAGCAAACGGGG
rnacentral:rRNA from 1 species